rnacentral:pre_miRNA from 1 species
UCCCAAAAUUCUUGUCUUAGAUUUGUCUAGAUACGGAUGUAUCAAGUCACAUUUUAGUAUUAGAUACAUCCGUAUCUAGACAAAUCUAAGACAAGAAAUUUGGGAUAGAGGGAGUAGUUG